UGGCUAAAAGAUGCUAGCUGCAGAAUCGCCUUCAAGGACUUGCGCGCUGAUUAAUGGCCUCCUUUUUAUUUUUUUCUACUAAUCUUUGAGUUAACACGUACUAAACAUGAGUUGUAUUUGCACCACAGCGCCGCCACGCCUUGAUGCUCAUGACAAUAAUAGCAUGUAUAGUUAUCUUUAUUGAAGUGAAUUAGGUUUAAAUCGCCUUCAUGCAUGAAUGAAUGAUGUUUCUGAAAUUGUACACAUAAUAAUCCACAAUGAUCACAUCACACAAAACUAAAAUUGCAAGUCAAAAUUACAUAUUGUCAAUAUUUUUAGAGACCCCCCCAAAAUUUCAAAAAUCACGUUUUCAGGGGAGCCCAUUUUCUUUUUAAGGGGAGCCGAGCUCCCCCUAGCGCCCUCGUAGUUUGCACCCUGAGAUUACUUUGCA